UCCGGGACUGUCCACAAGGGCAGCCGUUUGUCUGGGCCGAAGAUUACACGUUUGUGUUGGAGCACCGUGUUCGCGCUGCUUUCCCAGUUCAAAACCACCGAGAGAGCUAAAGGGGCCUGUCAGUGCCUUCAGCCAAAUUACAGCUUGUGCUUGGCUCUCGCCCCCACUUCAGGGGACUGUUUAAAUAAUGUUUUCUUCCUGUGAUGGACUCGUGUGGAGAUUUUACAAAGUGUGACAUGAAUGUCCGUAUGUUAACACGGAGAGAUCAGUUUGUCAGCAUAGAUUUACCAGAUACUUCAGCCUCGGUCAGAGUUUUGGAUUGUGUUCUACAAGACUUGAUGAGAUCGAGAAUAUGACAUUCCUGCUUACAAGAGCUACCCUCCAGACGAAGCAGACAUAUGCACCUAUGUAUUAGUAACUCAAACAUUUUCUGUCACCUCCACAAAGCCAGCCCCCCCCAUCCUGAAAUCCCAGCUCAAGGAGGAGCAGGUACAAUGCAGCUUUCUCAAGUGGGUGAGGAUAGAUUUCUAACCACACCCCUCCUUUGGCUCAUGUUUUGGUCAACUUGCUCCCCUAGAUUGGAAAGGAAGACUUAUGCUGAAAGGGAGAGGCCUGGAUUCUACUGAGACUACAUAAAAAGGACUAAGAUGGCUCAGCAUCAGCAGUCUCUGCUGCGGAGAGCAGAUGAAAGCCCAGGCGAGGCUGAACUGUUUGAUUUGAGCAUGGCCACGGCAAGGUCCUCAGUGUCUCAGAUCCGUGGGAAUGUCAAAGCUUGCCCUGGCUCAUGUGAAGAUGUUGGCUGUGUGUGCAGAAAAUGUCGACCCCAGCUUUUUACCAUCUGAGAGUGUUCAUCCAUGGAGACUCCCUACUGGGCUCAGCCUGCCUCCUCAUUGAGCUGUAUACAAUAAACCCACCUCCUCGGUUCAGAGGUAUAAAAUAAGUGUGCUUCAAUAGUGAUUGCAGAGGCCCAACUCAACUGUGUUAAUGAAUGGACAUAAUCAGUUGUUUAACAAUGUGUGUUUGUGUGUUAAGAGAAUAAACACUCUCUUUUCAGUAAUAAGGAAUAGCUUGUCAGCCACAGGUACCCACCUCACCCCAAUCAAUUUUCUAAGUUAAGAAGGACUGAGCCAGGAGUUUUAAAUGCUGUUGAGUGCUUUUGUGCUUCUGAAAGUGACCUCUGAGCCCUGGAAAAUUAGUGAGGGGCAGCAGACAGAAAAAGAAUGAGAUAAUGGUCUAGGGCAGGC